rnacentral:rRNA from 1 species
CCUACGGGGGACAGCAGUGAGGAAUAUUGGUCAAUGGACGAGAGUCUGAACCAGCCAAGUAGCGUGAAGGAUGACUGCCCUAUGGGUUGUAAACUUCUUUUAUAUGGGAAUAAAAUGUUCCACGUGUGGGAUUUUGUAUGUACCAUAUGAAUAAGGAUCGGCUAACUCCGUGCCAGCAGCCGCGGUAAUACGGAGGAUCCGAGCGUUAUCCGGAUUUAUUGGGUUUAAAGGGAGCGUAGGUGGAUUGUUAAGUCAGUUGUGAAAGUUUGCGGCUCAACCGUAAAAUUGCAGUUGAAACUGGCAGUCUUGAGUACAGUAGAGGUGGGCAGAAUUCGUGGUGUAGCGGUGAAAUGCUUAGAUAUCACGAAGAACUCCGAUUGCGAAGGCAGUUCACUGGACUGCAACUGACACUGAGGCUCGAAAGUGUGGGUAUCAAACAGGAUUAGAUACCCCAGUAGUC